rnacentral:rRNA from 1 species
AGAGUUUGAUCCUGGCUCAGGACGAACGCUGGCGGCGUGCCUAAUACAUGCAAGUCGAGCGGACAGAUGGGAGCUUGCUCCCUGAUGUUAGCGGCGGACGGGUGAGUAACACGUGGGUAACCUGCCUGUAAGACUGGGAUAACUCCGGGAAACCGGGGCUAAUACCGGAUGGUUGUUUGAACCGCAUGGUUCAAACAUAAAAGGUGGCUUCGGCUACCACUUACAGAUGGACCCGCGGCGCAUUAGCUAGUUGGUGAGGUAAUGGCUCACCAAGGCAACGAUGCGUAGCCGACCUGAGAGGGUGAUCGGCCACACUGGGACUGAGACACGGCCCAGACUCCUACGGGAGGCAGCAGUAGGGAAUCUUCCGCAAUGGACGAAAGUCUGACGGAGCAACGCCGCGUGAGUGAUGAAGGUUUUCGGAUCGUAAAGCUCUGUUGUUAGGGAAGAACAAGUACCGUUCGAAUAGGGCGGUACCUUGACGGUACCUAAGGGAGGGCCACGGCUAACUACGUGCCAGCAGCCGCGGUAAUAC